UACGAAGGGGGCUAGCGUUGCUCGGAAUCACUGGGCGUAAAGCGCACGUAGGCGGCCCGCUAAGUCGAACGUGAAAUCCCCAGGCUCAACCUGGGAACUGCGUCCGAUACUGGCAGGCUUGAAUCCGGGAGAGGGAUGUGGAAUUCCAGGUGUAGCGGUGAAAUGCGUAGAUAUCUGGAGGAACACCGGUGGCGAAGGCGGCAUCCUGGACCGGGAUUGACACUGAGGCGCGAAAGCCAGGGGAGACAAACGGG
rnacentral:rRNA from 1 species